rnacentral:rRNA from 1 species
GACGAACGCUGGCGGCGUGCUUAACACAUGCAAGUCGAACGGAAAGGCUCCAGCUUGCUGGAGUACUCGAGUGGCGAACGGGUGAGUAACACGUGGGUAAUCUGCCCUGCACUCUGGGAUAAGCCUGGGAAACUGGGUCUAAUACUGGAUAUGACCUUUCUCCUUAUGGGGUUUGGUGGAAAGUUUUUCGGUGUAGGAUGAGCCCGCGGCCUAUCAGCUUGUUGGUGGGGUGAUGGCCUACCAAGGGGACGACGGGUAGCCGGCCUGAGAGGGUGAUCGGCCACAUUGGGACUGAGAUACGGCCCAGACUCCUACGGGAGGCAGCAGUGGGGAAUAUUGCACAAUGGGCGGAAGCCUGAUGCAGCGACGCCGCGUGAGGGAUGACGGCCUUCGGGUUGUAAACCUCUUUCAGCAGGGACGAAGCGUAAGUGACGGUACCUGCAGAAGAAGCACCGGCUAACUAUGUG